AUUGAACGCUGGCGGCAUGCUUUACACAUGCAAGUCGAACGGCAGCGCGGGGGCAACCCUGGCGGCGAGUGGCGAACGGGUGAGUAAUACAUCGGAACGUACCCAGAAGUGGGGGAUAACGUAGCGAAAGUUACGCUAAUACCGCAUACGUUCUACGGAAGAAAGUGGGGGAUCGCAAGACCUCAUGCUUUUGGAGCGGCCGAUGUCUGAUUAGCUAGUUGGUGAGGUAAAGGCUCACCAAGGCGACGAUCAGUAGCUGGUCUGAGAGGACGACCAGCCACACUGGGACUGAGACACGGCCCAGACUCCUACGGGAAGCAGCAGUGGGGAAUUUUGCGCAAUGGACGAAAGUCUGACGCAGCAACGCCGCGUGGGUGAUGAAGGUCUUCGGAUUGUAAAACCCUGUCGUCAGGGACAAGGGUGGGACGUGAAUAGCGUUCUACUUUGACGGUACCUGGAAAGGAAGCCCCGGCUAACUCUGUGCCAGCAGCCGCGGU
rnacentral:rRNA from 1 species